UUUGAGUAAUGCGUGACCAACCUGCCCCAUGCUCCGGAAUAGCUCCUGGAAACGGGUGGUAAUGCCGGAUGUGCCGGGCUCCUGCAUGGGGGUCCGGGAAAGCUCUGGCGGCGUGGGAUGGGGUCGCGUCCUAUCAGCUUGUUGGCGGGGUGAGGGCCCACCAAGGCUUCGACGGGUAGCCGGCCUGAGAGGGCGACCGGCCACAUUGGGACUGAGAUACGGCCCAGACUCCUACGGGAGGCAGCAGUGGGGAAUAUUGCACAAUGGGCGCAAGCCUGAUGCAGCGACGCCGCGUGCGGGAUGGAGGCCUUCGGGUUGUAAACCGCUUUUGUUUGGGAGCAAGCCCUUCGGGGUGAGUGUACCUUUCGAAUAAGCACCGGCUAACUACGUGCCAGCAGCCGCGGUAAUACGUA
rnacentral:rRNA from 1 species